rnacentral:rRNA from 1 species
GAGUUUGAUCCUGGCUCAGGAUGAACGCUAGCUACAGGCUUAACACAUGCAAGUCGAGGGGCAGCAUUGGAGUAGCAAUACUUCAGAUGGCGACCGGCGCACGGGUGAGUAACACGUAUCCAACCUGCCGCUUACUCGGGGAUAGCCUUUCGAAAGAAAGAUUAAUACCCGAUGGUAUAAAGAGUUCGCAUGUUCUCUUUAUUAAAGAAUUUCGGUAAGCGAUGGGGAUGCGUUCCAUUAGAUAGUUGGCGGGGUAACGGCCCACCAAGUCUACGAUGGAUAGGGGUUCUGAGAGGAAGGUCCCCCACAUUGGAACUGAGACACGGUCCAAACUCCUACGGGAGGCAGCAGUGAGGAAUAUUGGUCAAUGGGCGAGAGCCUGAACCAGCCAAGUAGCGUGAAGGAUGACUGCCCUAUGGGUUGUAAACUUCUUUUAUAAGGGAAUAAAGUGAGGGACGUGUCCCUUUUUGUAUGUACCUUAUGAAUAAGGAUCGGCUAACUCCGUGCCAGCAGCCGCGGUAAUACGGAGGAUCCAAGCGUUAUCCGGAUUUAUUGGGUUUAAAGGGAGCGUAGGUUGACAUAUAAGUCAGCUGUGAAAGUUUACGGCUCAACCGUGAAAUUGCAGUUGAUACUGUAUGUCUUGAGUGUACAAGAGGUGGGCGGAAUUCGUGGUGUAGCGGUGAAAUGCUUAGAUAUCACGAAGAACUCCAAUUGCGAAGGCAGCUCACUGGGGUACAACUGACACUGAGGCUCGAAAGUGUGGGUAUCAAACAGGAUUAGAUACCCUGGUAGUCCACACAGUAAACGAUGAAUACUCGCUGUUUGCGAUAUACAGUAAGCGGCCAAGCGAAAGCAUUAAGUAUUCCACCUGGGGAGUACGCCGGCAACGGUGAAACUCAAAGGAAUUGACGGGGGCCCGCACAAGCGGAGGAACAUGUGGUUUAAUUCGAUGAUACGCGAGG